rnacentral:rRNA from 1 species
UAAGGAAUAUUGGUCAAUGGACGCAAGUCUGAACCAGCCAUGCCGCGUGGAGGAUGAAGGUCCUCUGGAUUGUAAACUUCUUUUAUCUGAGACGAAACCUACUUUUUCUAAGGUAGCUGACGGUACCAGAUGAAUAAGCACCGGCUAACUCCGUGCCAGCAGCCGCGGUAAUACGGAGGGUGCAAGCGUUAUCCGGAUUCACUGGGUUUAAAGGGUGCGUAGGUGGGUAUGUAAGUCAGUGGUGAAAUCCCCGAGCUUAACUUGGGAACUGCCGUUGAUACUAUAUAUCUUGAAUGUCGUAGAGGCUAGCGGAAUAUGUCAUGUAGCGGUGAAAUGCUUAGAUAUGACAUAGAACACCAAUUGCGAAGGCAGCUGGCUAUGCGAUUAUUGACACUGAGGCACGAAAGCGUGGGUAGCAAACA